rnacentral:lncRNA from 1 species
AGAAAAAGAAAAAGAAAAAGAAAAAGAAAAAGAAAAAGAAAAAGAAAAAGAAAAAAGCCCACCCAAAAAAAACCUGGUCAAAUAUCAAGGAUUCUUUUUCCAAGGAUGCUGCAAGGAGUAAAGGUACAAGUGUCUUUCUUUCCUAAAACAUACAUGGGUCAGUGAUUUCUAAGAAGUUCUUACUGAAGCAUAAACUUUGCCUUUUUUAGCAGAAGGGUUUUCAGUGAUCAGAGGUCCUUCUUAGUCUUUUGACAUGCAGUCUAAUAAUCCCCCUUUCUGUAUUCUGUAGGCUCGGAAUUACUGCUGUAGAUUUCCCAGAAACUUCUGCUUCCUUUAUUCCUGGCACUAGCAUUUAUCUGCCAGUGGCACAGGCUUCUGCUGCAAUCAGUGCAGACUGGAGAAUACACACAUGGCUACUCUAAGUAUUGUACAGAAUGCACAGCUUAAUAGUACUUUUCAUCUAAACACUUUCCUAUCCAGACAUUUUGUUUCUGAGAUUGCUCAGAGUUGAGCAGCAGAGGACCCAGUGCUGCUAAGGCUGGCUACAUCACCUCCUGAAGUCAGUUUAAAUGCAGACAGAUGUGUCCUACAGAUCACCAGCUGUGCAGAAGUAUUUGCUGUUCUGCCAAAUUCAACCACCCAGUACACCAUUGCAGGGAAUCUAACAGCCAGUACCAGAGCCAAUUUGAGUAUAAGCAAACAGAAGCUGAUUAUCUCAUUACUUCUGAAGAGGUAACCAAGAAAAAUUCAGAAAGAAGCAUUAAUUAUCCCUGCAUUAGGAUACAACAGAACUCAUUAUAUCAGCCCAGCAGUGCUUGUUUCGCCAUGAGAAAAAGAAUAUUAGUUACCUUCUUUCUCAUAGGAGCUCCAAGAUACUUUCAACUGGUUGGUCUAAAUCUUGCAGAUGAAAUAUAA